UAAAACUCAAGGAAUAAGAGAGUAGUUAUCGACCAAGUCAAAGCGAGCUGAUGAGGGUGAGAGAUCAGUACAGCGGUAGAUAAUGAAGCGCACUUAGGAGAGGGAUAUUUGAACUCAAGUAGAAUAUCCGGUGAGCUAGCCUUAAUAGCGAGAGUGGAUGCAGGUCAACUGACAUCAACUGGAGUGGUAACGCGGAUUAUUCGUCUCCUGG
rnacentral:ncRNA from 1 species